CUGCUGCCUUCCGUAGGAGUUUGGGCCGUGUCUCAGUCCCAAUGUGGCCGUCCACCCUCUCAGGCCGGCUACUGAUCGUCGCCUUGGUGGGCCCCUACCCCGCCAACAAGCUAAUCAGACGCGGGUCCAUCUUACACCACCGGAGUUUUUCACACCGGGCCAUGCGGCCCUGUGCGCUUAUGCGGUAUUAGCACCUGUUUCCAGGUGUUAUCCCCCUGUGUAAGGCAGGUUACCCACGCGUUACUCACCCGUCCGCCACUCGAAUG
rnacentral:rRNA from 1 species